AUUUGUGCAGAUCGACUGUUUUUUAAAGAAAGAAAAAUCAGCUCACCUUAUAGACGCACAUGUGAUUUUCUCCGUAUUAUUUUCCUCCUCUCGACUCCAGUCCAGCGGGAGGCGCUGAAACACAUGUGUUCUCCAAACACCAGUAAGCCUCAGAUGAAGAAGAUUCGUUUCACCGCGCUCUCUGUUGUUUUGUCUUCAUACUGAUUUAUUACAAACGGUUAGAAAUGUCGUUUCUGUAAAUAGUAAACAUAUUGUUUUGAAUCAGUUCAGUACCUAUAAUAUUUCCAACCUCACAGUCGUGACUGAGGUUUGAAGCAAGCAGGAAUAUCUGGAGGAGUAUCAUCUGAACCGAGAUCUGCUGCUGUGAAGAUGAUGUUUGUGAAAGAGGAGAGAGAAGAGGACACGAUUGAACCAGAGACCUGUAGAAUAAAACUUAGAACCAGAAACCUGGAGAAUAAAUACACGAGGAACCAGAGCCCUGGAGAAUAAAACACGAGGAACCAGAAACCUGGAGACUAAAACUUGAACCAGAAAGCUGCAGAAUAAAACACGAGGAACAGGGAGGUUGGUCUUUAUUGUUCAUUAAUCUUUUUUUUGCGUAGCCAGCCGCACUGAGAGCAGUCAAAAUGCAUGUAAAGAAGCUGUCAUAUUAACACGUUUCUUUAAUGCUUUGCUUAUUUUAUUAAUUUAUGUUUUUAUUUCUAUUGUUUUUUGUUCGUUUCGUGUGUGUGUGUGUAUAUAUAUAUGUAUAUAUAUAUAUAUCAUAAAAAGUGUUCCUUUUUUAGGUAAGCUCGUUCUUUAAAUUCAGAUGUAUUCAGAGUGACCCUGACUAUCACUCUAUUCAUUUUCAAUGCACUUUACUGUAUAGUAUUGCAUCCUAGCACUUGCACUUUGUCCUAUUUUUCAACUCUCAUAAAAAGUGUCCCUUUAUAGGUUAGCUCAUUCUUUAAAUUCAAAUGGCCUAAAAGAAAUCCCCCCACCCCCAACUUAAAAUCAAUAUUCAGAUGACAAAGUAAUUGUUCAAAACAAGUUUUAAUAUAAUUCUUUAUCAUUUACCAGUCAAAUUUAUAACUGAGACAAGACAAUUAAAAAAAAAGACAGUAUUACCUUAAAGGGAUAGUUCACCCAAAAAUGAAAAUUAUGUCAUUAAUGACUCACCCUCAUGUCGUUCCAAACCCGUGAGACCUCCGUUCAUCUUCGGAACACAGUUUAAGAUAUUUUUAGAUUUAGUCCGAGAGCUUUCUGUCCCUCCAUUGAGAAUGUAUGUACGGUAUACUGUCCACGUCCAGAAAGGUAAUAAAAACAUCUUCAAAGUAGUCCAUGUGACAUCAGAGGAUCCGUAAGAAUUUUUUUGAAGCAUCGAAAAUACAUUUUGGUCCAAAAAUAUCAAAAACUACGACUUUAUUUAGCAUUGACUUCUCUCCCGGGUCUGUUAUCAGCGCGUUCACAACACUGCAGUUUAGUGAUAUCCGGUUCGUGAACGAAUCACUCGAUGUUACCGGAUCUUCUUGAACCAGUUCACCAAAUCGAACUGAAUCGUUUGAAACGGUUCGUACCGGUAUACUGUCCACGUCCAGAAAGGUAAUAAAAACAUCUUCAAAGUAGUCCAUGUGACAUCAGAGGAUCCGUAAGAAUUUUUUUGAAGCAUCGAAAAUACAUUUUGGUCCAAAAAUAUCAAAAACUACGACUUUAUUUAGCAUUGACUUCUCUCCCGGGUCUGUUAUCAGCGCGUUCACAACACUGCAGUUUAGUGAUAUCCGGUUCGUGAACGAAUCACUCGAUGUUACCGGAUCUUCUUGAACCAGUUCACCAAAUCGAACUGAAUCGUUUGAAACGGUUCGCGUCAACAAUAACCAUUAAUCCACAAAUGACUUAAGCUGUUAACUUUUUUAACAUGGCUGACGAAAACCAAACAAAACGCCUACAGAGUGCGCACAUAUGUUACGUGAAGUCUACUAGGUUAGACUAGUGUGCGUGCAUUUAUAGUGCGUUAUUUCACUGCAUGAAUCAGUUUAUUAAAAUGCAUUUAGAAUUAUCACAUACUUCAAAAUAUGGGGCAGAAAAUUUAUUUAUAUAAUUUCAUAUAGUUAAUAUCACACGAAGAGUGCCGUUUU
rnacentral:lncRNA from 1 species